GAUCAUGCUGUGACAGUUUCACU
rnacentral:miRNA from 1 species